AGGCUCAUGACGCUCUUCGGAGUAGAUUGAGAAUCCAUGAUACUAUCGAGCCAAGAAAAGUUUCUAAGUUUAGUAAUAAUUGCCCGUACCGUAAACCGACACAGGUGGGUGGGAUGAGUAUUCUAAGGCGCGUGGAAGAACUCUCUUUAAGGAACUCUGCAAAAUAGCACCGUAUCUUCGGUAUAAGGUGUGCCUAACUUUGUAUUAAGAUUCACUCCCAAAGCAAAGAAGGUUACAACAAAGAGUCCCUCCCGACUGUUUACCAUAAACACAGCACUCUGCUAACACGUAAGUGGAUGUAUAGGGUGUGACGCCUGCCCGGUGCUCGAAGGUUAAUUGAUGAUGUUAGCUAUGCGAAGCAUUUGAUCGAAGCCCGAGUAAACGGCGGCCGUAACUAUAACGGUCCUAAGGUAGCGAAAUUCCUUGUCGGUUAAAUACCGACCUGCAUGAAUGGCGUAACGAGAUGGGAGCUGUCUCAAAGAGGGAUCCAGUGA
rnacentral:rRNA from 1 species